UUUAAGUUCAGUUGUAAUUUCUGUCCAAUGCUUGACCAUUCGUUAUAUUUGAAUUUUGUUAUGAUUAGUGUUUUUUUAUUAGAUGAUAAAACAUAAAUAUUAUUUUAUGUGUGAUUUUUUUAAUUUUUUUAUUUUUUUUUAAAUAAGAUGGACGGUUAAACAUACACACAGAAACUGAUAACUGCACUCAAA
rnacentral:pre_miRNA from 1 species